UUCCUUGCCAAGAACAAACCAAAGGUCACAGCCGGGUUAAUGUGACCACCUGAUAUUCCAGCAGUACAGUAUACAAGGAUGAAAAUCAUGCCACCAAAAGACCAUGCAAUGCCGAGAAAGCCAACGCCUGCACAGGGGUCAGUUUGUUUCUUGUAACCAAUCACGGUGGCAACAGUGACAUAGAGAAAGAGAAGGGUAGCAAUGAACUCUGCGAUGACAGCUCUGUAAAAAGACCACAGACCAAGCUCUUCCGGGUCGAAAAGGGGUGCUGGUGGCGGUUCCACAUAGUCUCUUUCUUGCUGCGAAGCCUCCCCUGCUUCUUCUGUCACUUCCUUCGCCAUCUUGAAAAUUAAUUAUUUAGCAUACAAGAUGAGAG
rnacentral:misc_RNA from 1 species